UGGGGAAUAUUGCACAAUGGGCGAAAGCCUGAUGCAGCGACGCCGCGUGAGGGAUGACGGCCUUCGGGUUGUAAACCUCUUUCAGCAGGGACGAAGCGCAAGUGACGGUACCUGCAGAAGAAGCACCGGCUAACUACGUGCCAGCAGCCGCGGUAAUACGUAGGGUGCAAGCGUUGUCCGGAAUUACUGGGCAUAAAGAGUUCGUAGGCGGUUUGUCGCGUCGUUUGUGAAAACCAGCAGCUCAACUGCUGGCUUGCAGGCGAUACGGGCAGACUUGAGUACUGCAGGGGAGACUGGAAUGCCUGGUGUAGCGGUGAAAUGCGCAGAUAUCAGGAGGAACACCGGUGGCGAAGGCGGGUCUCUGGGCAGUAACUGACGCUGAGGAACGAAAGCGUGGGUAGCGAACAGG
rnacentral:rRNA from 1 species